AUCAUCCUACGGGGCGCAGCAGUGGGGAAUAUUGGGCAAUGGGCGCAAGCCUGACCCAGCAACGCCGCGUGAAGGAAGAAGGCCCUCGGGUUGUAAACUUCUUUUAUUCGGGACGAAACAAAUGACGGUACCGAAUGAAUAAGCCACGGCUAACUACGUGCCAGCAGCCGCGGUAAUACGUAGGUGGCAAGCGUUAUCCGGAUUUACUGGGUGUAAAGGGCGUGUAGGCGGGAGAGAAAGUCAGAAGUGAAAUUCCAGGGUUC
rnacentral:rRNA from 1 species